GUAGUCAUAUGCUUGUCUCAAAGCUUAAGCCAUGCAAGUCUCAGUACGAACUGAGUCAAAGUGAAACCGCAAAAGGCUCAGUAAACCGGUCAUAGUUUACCGGAUAUAUGCCACUCACGUGGAUAACUGUGGUAAUUCUAGAGCUAAUACAUGCAAACAAGUCCCGACCAGCGAUGGGGAGGACGCUUUUAUUGGAUCAAAACCUUUCGCCCGGCCUGCCCGGGCGUCGGCUUGAUGACUCUAGAUAACACCACAGAUCGCACGGUCACAGUACCGGUGACGUAUCCUUCAAAUGUCUGACUUAUCAGCUGUCGAUGGUAGACUCUGUGUCUACCAUGGCGCUCACGGGUGACGGGGAAUCAGGGUUCGAUUCCGGAGAGGGAGCCUGAGAAACGGCUA
rnacentral:rRNA from 1 species